CCUACGGGAGGCAGCAGUGAGGAAUAUUGGUCAAUGGGCGCGAGCCUGAACCAGCCAAGUAGCGUGAAGGAUGACUGCCCUACGGGUUGUAAACUUCUUUUAUAAAGGAAUAAAGUGAGGCACGUGUGCCUUUUUGUAUGUACCUUAUGAAUAAGGAUCGGCUAACUCCGUGCCAGCAGCCGCGGUAAUACGGGGGAUCCGAGCGUUAUCCGGAGUUAUUGGGUUUAAAGGGUGCGUGGGCGGUUGGUUAAGUCAGUGGUCAAAUUUAGGGGCUAAACGCCUUCCCGCCGUUGAAACUGGGGGGCUAGAGUGGAGGAGAGGUAGGCGGAAUGCGUGGUGUAGCGGUGAAAUGCAUAGAUAUCACGCAGAACCCCGAUUGCGAAGGCAGCAUGCCGGAUUGCGACUGACGCUGAGGCACGAAAGCGUGGGGAUCGAACAGGAUUAGAUACCCCAGUAGUA
rnacentral:rRNA from 1 species